rnacentral:rRNA from 1 species
GUGGGGAAUUUUGGACAAUGGGGGCAACCCUGAUCCAGCCAUCCCGCGUGUGCGAUGAAGGCCUUCGGGUUGUAAAGCACUUUUGGCAGGAAAGAAAUCGCACGGGAUAAUACCUCGUGUGGAUGACGGUACCUGCAGAAUAAGCACCGGCUAACUACGUGCCAGCAGCCGCGGUAAUACGUAGGGUGCAAGCGUUAAUCGGAAUUACUGGGCGUAAAGCGUGCGCAGGCGGUUCGGAAAGAAAGAGGGGAAAUCCCAAGGCUUAACCUUGGAACUGCAUUUGUAACUAUCGGGCUAGAGUGUGUCAGAGGGGGUUGUGAGUCCGCGUGUAGCAGUGAAAUGCGUAGAUAUGCGGAGGAACACCGAUGGCGAAGGCAGCCCCCUGGGAUAAGACUGACGCUCAUGCACGAAAGCGUGGGGAGCAAACAGGAUUAGAAACCCGAGUAGUCC